AGUAACGCGUGGGUAACCUGCCUCAUACAGGGGGAUAACAGUUAGAAAUGACUGCUAAUACCGCAUAAGCGCACAGUGCUGCAUGGCACAGUGUGAAAAACUCCGGUGGUAUGAGAUGGACCCGCGUCUGAUUAGCUGGUUGGUGAGGUAACGGCUCACCAAGGCGACGAUCGGUAGCCGGCUUGAGAGAGUGAACGGCCACAUUGGGACUGAGACACGGCCCAAACUCCUACGGGAGGCAGCAUG
rnacentral:rRNA from 1 species